GAAACUUUGCAAAGGAUAAAACAACAGGCAACAGGCAGGCCCAAGGCCCCCACAACCGGGGUCCAGCCCAGUCUGUGACCAACUCAGGAAGGACCUGGGUCCAGACUAGGACUUCCCUACCCUAGAGAAGAACCUUUUCAUUGACCUAGUUAAAAGGAUUGCCCAUGAGUUCAAUGUCUCUGAGUGUUGUGUCUGUGGAGGGGCCCUUAUGAGUGAAGAAUGGCCUUGGAAGGAGACCAGUCUAGAUGCACUCCAUUUACUCCAAUGGAAUCAUUCCAUAACAGAGAGAGAAAACAACCAGCCCCAAAACUGGGUCUUGGCCUCAGAGGUGAUUGGAGAAGAGUGCAUUAGUAGAACAAGUCCCGGUUAUAGACAAUGGGUAGGAGGAACUCCAUGCAAAAGAAGGCUUUCUUGGGACUCUACCAGUUUUGAGUGGUGGCCAAACACUCCUACCUGGCAUUGGGCCCUGGCCUCUGUGGUUAAUACCUCCCAGUGUCAAUCUUCUCCCUACUAGGCCAUAGUCAAUUGUACUAUACAUGCUAAGGAGGAGGCCAAUCCAUUCCAUGGCAUACCUGAAAUUAGUAAAUACUGGGACACCCUUACUCUUAGUGACCCCAAGCACUGGAGGGCACCUGAUGGACUGUUUUGGAUAUGUGGAAAAAGAGCAUAUACACAACUCCCCACUCAGUGGAAAGGGAGCUACACCAUUGGAAUAAUCCAACCUGGAUUUUUCCUCCUGCCUAACCAGAAGGGAGGAAAAAUUAGGGGUUCCCCUUUAUCAGAGCCUAAAGGUUAGGACCAGAAGGAGUCCUAUGAUAAGAGGACAACAAAUAUGGGGAAAAAAAGAGUGGCCACCCUGGAGAAUUAUUCGGAUAUGUGGUUCAGCCACUUGGGCACAAGAUGGGAGUUGGGGCUACUGAACCCCUACAUAUAUGCUCAAUUGAAUCAUCAGGUAACAGGUGGUACUGGAAAUUAUUACUAACCAAAUAGCCACGGCCCUGGAACUCAUGACAAAACAACAAUCACAAGUGCAUAUAGCUAUACAGAACCUCCUAGCCUUAGAUUACCUAUUAGCAGAAGAAGGAGGAGUAUGUGGAAAAUUUAAUCGAUCCAUCUGCUGCCUCCAGAUAGACGACAAUGGCCACAUAACCACAAACAUCAGAAAAGUGGCUAAUGCCCCCAUACAGACUGGGGAGGGCUGGAACCCCAGGGAGCUAUUCGGGGGAUGGUUUUCAACCUUUGGGGGAUUCAAAACUCUCAUAGGUAUUGUGCUCAUGAUUGUGGGAUGCUGGCUGAUCUUACCCUGUCUGGCUCCUCUAGUUAUAAGAUCUGUCUCUGGUCUCAUUGAGACCCUGAUCAACAGGAAGACGGCCACACAUGUGAUGAUGCUGUGGAAAUACAAACCCCUAGCCCGAGAUGAUGCUCUUUGACCCUGAGAAAGGGAUCAGAGCAUCGGGGUGGGGAGGGGGAGGGGGAGGGGGAGGGCCCUCCCAGAACAAAGGGAAGGCAGCUCGCAACAUCAGCACCUGUGUACGCAUGUGCAGUUCUGCAACAAUGUAGCAUAACCUGUAUCCAUGGGCGCAAGUGCGUCUAUAACUGCCCCCCCACAAAUUACAGAAUAUAUGUUACUUUAUAAGGGGGACAAAGGGACUUAGAUGUAACAGAAAAAAGACUAACGGGGGUAUAUAAGGUGACACCCCACUGCGUUCGGGGCUCAGCCUUUGGAUCUGAAUCUGCUGAGCCAGUGCCGGCAUGAAUAAAUGCUACUUCCUGGC
rnacentral:lncRNA from 1 species